GGGGGAUAUUGCACAAUGGGCGCAAGCCUGAUGCAGCGACGCCGCGUGAGGGAUGACGGCUUUCGGGUUGUAAACCUCUUUCGCUACCGAACAAGGCCCUGUAUUGGCAGGGUUGAGGGUAGGUGGAUAAGAAGCGCCGGCUAACUACGUGCCAGCAGCCGCGGUAAUACGUAGGGCGCGAGCGUUGUCCGGAAUUAUUGGGCGUAAAGAGCUCGUAGGCGGCUUGUCGCGUCUGCUGUGAAAACGCGGGGCUUAACUCCGCGCGUGCAGUGGGUACGGGCAGGCUAGAGUGUGGUAGGGGUGACUGGAAUUCCUGGUGUAGCGGUGGAAUGCGCAGAUAUCAGGAGGAACACCGAUGGCGAAGGCAGGUCACUGGGCCAUUACUGACGCUGAGGAGCGAAAGCAUGGGGAGCGAAC
rnacentral:rRNA from 1 species